UCAGACUAACUGUGUCGUUCCUCAGUGAUCUGAAUACUCUUCUGUAAACAUCAUCAUGUGGGCUGAAGAUGAUUUGGGUCCAGGAGUUCCCUCUCUUGAAAGCUUCUCUGAACCUGCUGAUGGGAAAGUGUACCGAAUGUAUCACGGUACCUCUAUACAGGCUGCUGCCCAAAUCAUGUUAAACGGCUUUAGACAAUCUGCAGAUGGCAUGUUAGGGCGUGGUGUGUACCUCAGUCGAGAUCUUAAUAAGGCCAGUAGAUACCCUUUGGAUCUGCUUGAGCACCAGAGAGUUGUUAUAAGGGUGAGAGUCAAUGUUGGGAGAGUGAAGAAAAUCGAUCAUCAAGGUCACCGAAUGCAGAAAACCUGGCAUGAUUAUGGGUACGACACUGCUUGGUGUCCUCCUGGAUGUGGCAUGGUUCGAAGUGGUCUAGAAGAAGAUUGUGUGUGGGAUUCAGCACGUGUUGAGGUUAUUGAUAUAAUUCGUCCACAAAUAACAGUAGGACCAUUCCAUGACUGUUAAAAUGAUGUAAAUAUGUAUCAGUGUUUACAGAAGAUAAAAUCAACACUGUCAAAGUUUCAAGUCUAAAAUGACUGUAAAUUAAUAAAAGAACAGAAAAGAUCUUCACUAUUUUAUUUCUUUCUGGAUUUUCACACAGAAGUUCUUUUUUCCACACAGUUUUUUUUUUAUGUAACAAUGACAUAUAUUUAUUGUAAGUAAGCAGUAAUAAGAUGAGAGUAUACCACACCUAACUCAAAUAAAAUCCAUAUUUUUGGGGGUAAAAUGAAAUGAUUCCAAUAAUCAUCUGUGCUAAAGUCAGAGCAGAUGAUAAGAAAAAUCUAUAUUCAUUAGCUGUUGAAGAAAACUUCAUUUUCACUUUCAUUUCUUCAACCUGGGGCUUGUGUACAUGUGGUAUGAAUGAUAAGAUAAAUAUGACUUUGUGUCUAUAUGGGUGUAUCAUGAUUGUAAGUAGUAACAGUCAGCGUGUAAGUGGUCAGAGUGUGUAUGAGGUUUACAACAUGCACAAUGAAAAGUAGGCCUUACUCAAUAAUACAGAUUAAAUCAAAGAUGUGAGAACUGGACUAACCUAUAAAACACAUUUAGAUGCAUGUUCUAUUCUUUACUUAUUAUAUACCUUAUAUGAAACAGUAAGGUACAUGUAUUAUUACUUAGAUCAGAAAUAAGAAAGCUGUGGAAGUAUGUAGCAUACAUGAGCUAUAUAAACUGAAGUUUUCAAUUAUUAUUUGGGCUAAAACAAGAGCUCUUCUGAUGAAGCGGGAAAUAUAUAUUCCUUAGAUUUUUCUGCGUAUGUGUUUAAGAAAGCUAAAUUUUUACAUUUGUGUCUUGUCUGGCUGUGCUAUGAGCUUUGGCUGGUGUUAUUUUUUGUUGCUCUUGUGCUCAUUUCCUGUGGAAAAAUAUACAAAAUAUUUUUGGAGCAGCCCAGUAGAUGGGCACGACUAAGCUUUGACUUCCUUUGGCCAUAGCAUUGUUUUCGGGAGUCUGAAAUCAUAGAGUGUGUGGGAUUUACAGUAUAACACAGCCUAACCCAGUAUACAGUAAUAGUACAUUAAUACAAGACCUGACAUCUAGACUAAAUUGUAAAACACACCUGAUACAUCUGUUAGAUGUUUUUAGAUAUUCUAAGAUAUUGAAUGUUUUAAAAAAAAAAAAAAAAAAGUUUUUAAUUUGAAAUCAAUUGGGCAACUUCUAUAAUACUACACUAACUAAUACUAAACCAUGUAACUUUGAUUGCAGUCUCUCAUAGGAAAAAAAAAAUCAAGUCAAAAAAUUACUAUUAUGAUUAUUUUUGCAUAAUCUUACAAAGUGUUCUUGUCAUCAGCAAACAGCGCUGUGUUUACAGAGCUAUGGUAGUUUGUGUAAUGCCAGAUCAGAAAUGAAGCAGGAAGUUCAAUGGAAACCCCCCGCAACAUCGUCUUUGUGUUUCGUUUAUAACCCCUCUCUCAGAACGAGCUCAGUCAGACCUGACGUGUCAUUACAGAGUUUCCUGUAUAUACGUCUGUAAACAUUAUCAUGUGGGCUGAAGAUGAUUUGGGUCCAGGAGUUCCCUGUCUCCAGAGCUUCUCUGUACCUGCUGAUGGGAAAGUGUAUCGAAUGUAUCACGGUACCUCUCAAUAUGCUGCUGCCCAAAUCAUGAGAAACGGCUUUAAACAAUCUGAAGUCGGCAUGUUAGGGCGUGGUGUGUACCUCAGUCGAGAUCUUAAUAAGGCCAGUAGAUACCCUUUGGGUCUGCCUGAGCACCAGAGAGUUGUUAUAAGGGUGAGAGUCAAUGUUGGGAGAGUGAAGAAAAUCGAUCAUCAAGGUCACCGAAUGCAGAAAACCUGGCAUGAUUAUGGGUACGACACUGCUUGGUGUCCUCCUGGAUGUGGCAUGGUUCGAAGUGGUCUAGAAGAAGAUUGUGUGUGGGAUCCAGCACGUGUUGAGGUUAUUGAUAUAAUUCGUCCACGAGUAACAGUAGGACCAUUCCAUGACUGUUAAAAUGAUGUAAAUAUGUAUCAGUGUUUACAGAAGAUAAAAUCAACACUGUGAAAGUUUCAAGUCUAAAAUGACUGUAAAUUAAUAAAAGAACAGAAAAGAUCUUCACUAUUUUAUUUCUUUCUGGAUUUUCACACAGAAGUUCUUUUUUCCACACAGUUUUUUUUAAUGUAACAAUGACAUAUAUUUAUUAUAAGUAAGUAAUAAUAAGAUGAGAGUAUACCACACCUAACUCAAAUAAAAUCCAUAUUUUGGGGGGUAAGAUGAAAUGAUUCCAAUAAUCAUCUGUGCUAAAGUCAGAGCAGAUGAUAAGAAAAAUCUAUAUUCAUUAGCUGUUGAAGAAAACUUCAUUUUCACUUUCAUUUCUUCAACCUGGGGCUUGUGUACAUGUGGUAUGAAUGAUAAGAUAAAUAUGACUUUGUGUCUAUAUGGGUGUAUCAUGAUUGUAAGUAGUAACAGUCAGCGUGUAAGUGGUCAGAGUGUGUAUGAGGUUUACAACAUGCACAAUGAAAAGUAGGCCUUACUCAAUAAUACAGAUUAAAUCAAAGAUGUGAGAACUGGACUAACCUAUAAAACACAUUUAGAUGCAUGUUCUAUUCUUUACUUAUUAUAUACCUUAUAUGAAACAGUAAGGUACAUGUAUUAUUACUUAGAUCAGAAAUAAGAAAGCUGUGGAAGUAUGUAGCAUACAUGAGCUAUAUAAACUGAAGUUUUCAAUUAUUAUUUGGGCUAAAACAAGAGCUCUUCUGAUGAAGCGGGAAAUAUAUAUUCCUUAGAUUUUUCUGCGUAUGUGUUUAAGAAAGCUAAAUUUUUACAUUUGUGUCUUGUCUGGCUGUGCUAUGAGCUUUGGCUGGUGUUAUUUUUUGUUGCUCUUGUGCUCAUUUCCUGUGGAAAAAUAUACAAAAUAUUUUUGGAGCAGCCCAGUAGAUGGGCACGACUAAGCUUUGACUUCCUUUGGCCAUAGCAUUGUUUUCGGGAGUCUGAAAUCAUAGAGUGUGUGGGAUUUACAGUAUAACACAGCCUAACCCAGUAUACAGUAAUAGUACAUUAAUACAAGACCUGACAUCUAGACUAAAUUGUAAAACACACCUGAUACAUCUGUUAGAUGUUUUUAGAUAUUCUAAGAUAUUGAAUGUUUUAAAAAAAAAAAAAAAAAAGUUUUUAAUUUGAAAUCAAUUGGGCAACUUCUAUAAUACUACACUAACUAAUACUAAACCAUGUAACUUUGAUUGCAGUCUCUCAUAGGAAAAAAAAAAUCAAGUCAAAAAAUUACUAUUAUGAUUAUUUUUGCAUAAUCUUACAAAGUGUUCUUGUCAUCAGCAAACAGCGCUGUGUUUACAGAGCUAUGGUAGUUUGUGUAAUGCCAGAUCAGAAAUGAAGCAGGAAGUUCAAUGGAAACCCCCCGCAACAUCGUCUUUGUGUUUCGUUUAUAACCCCUCUCUCAGAACGAGCUCAGUCAGACCUGACGUGUCAUUACAGAGUUUCCUGUAUAUACGUCUGUAAACAUUAUCAUGUGGGCUGAAGAUGAUUUGGGUCCAGGAGUUCCCUGUCUCCAGAGCUUCUCUGUACCUGCUGAUGGGAAAGUGUAUCGAAUGUAUCACGGUACCUCUCAAUAUGCUGCUGCCCAAAUCAUGAGAAACGGCUUUAAACAAUCUGAAGUCGGCAUGUUAGGGCGUGGUGUGUACCUCAGUCGAGAUCUUAAUAAGGCCAGUAGAUACCCUUUGCUUCUGCCUGAGCACCAGAGAGUUGUUAUAAGGGUGAGAGUCAAUGUUGGGAGAGUGAAGAAAAUCGAUCAUCAAGGUCACCCACUGCAGAAAACCUGGCAUGAUCAUGGGUACGACACUGCUUGGUGUCCUCCUCGAUGUGGCAUGGUUCCAAGUGGUCUAGAAGAAGACUGUGUGUGGGAUCCAAGACGUAUUCAGGUUAUUGAUGUAAUAUGUCCAAGAGCAACACCAUGAUCGUUAAAUGGCUACUAAAUUGUUAUAGAAAUUGUACAGUUAGAAAAUGUCAAACGCUUUUAUCACAAGAUGAAAAAACUGUACAACAAUAAAAGAACUGAAAUUUU